rnacentral:lncRNA from 1 species
CCUUCUCUGCAAACACUCGGAUAACUCAUUUGUGUAUCCAAGAAUAACAAACAUUAAGUGCACAAAGAAAACGAACUUAAAAGUUUCAAAUGCUCCAAGCACAAAAUGUAUCUUUGUCCAAUCAUCCUUAUGUGAAAUAUCAUCACCAAGAUCAAUGAGCACAUCAUGGAUUGAGGAAUACAUUGUAAUGAUGCUGCAUAUAGUUUUGUAAUGAGAGCCCCAUCAAGUUUCACUAGGCCUAGGCAAACUCAUCUCUUGAUUUAAUCCACUCC